CGGGAGAUGGCUGAGUGGUCGAAAGCGGCGGUCUUGAAAACCGUUGAGGGUAACACCUCCAGGGGUUCAAAUCCCUUUCUCCCGGCCA
rnacentral:tRNA from 1 species